rnacentral:rRNA from 1 species
CCUACGGGAGGCAGCAGUAGGGAAUCUUCGGCAAUGGACGGAAGUCUGACCGAGCAACGCCGCGUGAGUGAAGAAGGUUUUCGGAUCGUAAAGCUCUGUUGUAAGAGAAGAACGAGUGUGAGAGUGGAAAGUUCACACUGUGACGGUAUCUUACCAGAAAGGGACGGCUAACUACGUGCCAGCAGCCGCGGUAAUACGUAGGUCCCGAGCGUUGUCCGGAUUUAUUGGGCGUAAAGCGAGCGCAGGCGGUUAGAUAAGUCUGAAGUUAAAGGCUGUGGCUUAACCAUAGUACGCUUUGGAAACUGUUUAACUUGAGUGCAAGAGGGGAGAGUGGAAUGCCAUGUGUAGCGGUGAAAUGCGUAGAUAUAUGGAGGAACACCGGUGGCGAAAGCGGCUCUCUGGCUUGUAACUGACGCUGAGGCUCGAAAGCGUGGGGAGCAAACAGGAUUAGAUACCCCAGUAGUC